rnacentral:rRNA from 1 species
AAGCCAUGGGAGUCAGGGGUGCCUGAAGAUGGUGACCUUAAGAGGAGCUAUCUAGGGUAAACCUGGUGACUAGGGCUAAGUCGUAACAAGGUAGCCGUACCGGAAGGUGCGGCUGGAAUACCUCCUUUA